GAAGACUUUUUAGAGCCACUGUUCUUGGAGCCUGUUACCUCUGGGAGAAACUGCAACUGUAGCAGCAUUCCUUCCCCCCAGGAAUGUGACAAAGAUGAGCACCAUUCCAACACCUGUUGCUGAGGCACUUUCCAGGGGUCUAGCUGUGGAGGCCCCUACUCUUCUCUAGAGCAGGCACUUCAAUCUUCAGGCCAAAACUAAAAUGUCUGCAUGACCACACUGCCAGGUUGCCCAAGAUUGGCUGACUUUGUAUGCAUCCUGAUUAAAAAUGGCAUCUUG
ensembl:lncRNA novel transcript